UACAAGCUACGCUAUUCCCAUAGAGAAGUGUACAACUGUUGGUUAAAAAAAUGCAUUAGUCAGGCUUAUUUGCUUUCUCUUAAUGAUAGUUCGUCAGGGAUUACAGGUCACGGCAUACCUGGCUGAGGCCGCAGUGCAUCCAUGAAGAGAAAAAACCCGUCGAUGGCUGCAAGAUACACCCGAGGAGCCGGUGCACGCUGCAAAGCCUGCAAUGGUUUCAUGAAGCCGGGCUCCUAUUGGCCACGCGACAGCGCCACCGCGCGCGGCAGCAACAUACUUGCAAAAUGUUGUCAGAUACUAGUGUGACCCAGAUUUUGGAGUUCCAAAAAUGUCGCCAACGGAAUGUUGGGGUACUGGCUCGGCAAGAUAUUGCAGCGCAGGCAUCACAUCUUCCGACGAACGAUUCUGGCUGCCUCUGCGCUGGCCAUGAUUGUCAUAAUAAGGAACCUGCUUUGCCUGGAGAUUUUGAGGAAAAAAAAGCUUGCGCGAGAUACGAAAAUGCGAUUUGAAAUCUUCAUCAUGUCCUGGAACCGCGUCAUGUACACAAUUUUCUUUCUUGUUUAAGGUGAUUUGACGGGGCCAGAACCGCUACGUCGGCGAGCGCACCAAUGUGUUAAUCACUUUCUGGAUGCUGUAACAUUAGUAGUUUGUCUGGACAGCAUGAUUGUGGCAAAGUUUAUCUAUGCCUUGAAUGCUUUGGAGUGUAAAUAUACUGCAUAACCUGA